CCUACGGGAGGCAGCAGUGGGGAAUAUUGCACAAUGGGGGAAACCCUGAUGCAGCGACGCCGCGUGAGUGAGGAAGUAUUUCGGUAUGUAAAGCUCUAUCAGCAGGGAAGAAAAUGACGGUAACUGACCAAGAAGCCCCCGCUAACCACGUGCCAGCAGCCGCGGUAAUACGUAGGGGGCAAGCGUUAUCCGGAUUUACUGGGUGUAAAGGGAGCGUAGACGGAAUUGCAAGUCUGAUGUGAAAAGCCGGGGCCCAACCCCGGAACUGCAUUGGAAACUGUAUUGCUAGAGUGUCGGAGAGGCAAGUGGAAUUCCUAGUGUAGCGGUGAAAUGCGUAGAUAUUAGGAGGAACACCAGUGGCGAAGGCGGCUUACUGGACAGUAACUGACGUUGAGGCUCGAAAGCGUGGGGAGCAAACAGGAUUAGAUACCCGGGUAGUC
rnacentral:rRNA from 1 species